rnacentral:rRNA from 1 species
UGGGCAACCUGCCCCCUCUCUCUGGGAUAACCCCGGGAAACCGGAGCUAAUACCGGAUACUCCGGCUGGAUCGCAUGGUCCGGCCGGGAAAGGUCCGCCGGAGAGGGAUGGGCCCGCGGCCUAUCAGCUUGUUGGUGGGGUCAUGGCUCACCAAGGCGACGACGGGUAGCUGGUCUGAGAGGACAACCAGCCACACUGGAACUGAGACACGGCCCAGACUCCUACGGGAGCA